rnacentral:rRNA from 1 species
AGUGAACGCUGGCGGUAGGCCUAACACAUGCAAGUCGAACGGCAGCACAGUAAGAGCUUGCUCUUACGGGUGGCGAGUGGCGGACGGGUGAGGAAUACAUCGGAAUCUACUUUUUCGUGGGGGAUAACGUAGGGAAACUUACGCUAAUACCGCAUACGACCUACGGGUGAAAGCAGGGGAUCUUCGGACCUUGCGCGAUUCAAUGAGCCGAUGUCGGAUUAGCUAGUUGGCGGGGUAAAGGCCCACCAAGGCGACGAUCCGUAGCUGGUCUGAGAGGAUGAUCAGCCACACUGGAACUGAGACACGGUCCAGACUCCUACGGGAGGCAGCAGUGGGGAAUAUUGGGCAAUGGGCGAAAGCCUGAUCCAGCCAUACCGCGUGGGUGAAGAAGGCCUUCGGGUUGUAAAGCCCUGUUGUUGGGAAAGAAAAGCAGCAGGUUAAUACCCCGCUGUUCUGACGGUACCCAAAGAAUAAGCACCGGCUAACUUCGUG